rnacentral:rRNA from 1 species
GUCUAGGGCCAUGCUACCCUAAAUAAGCCUAAUCUCAUAUGAUCUCAGAAGCUAAGCAGAGUGGGGCCUGGUUAGUACUUGGAUGGGAGACCACCUAAGAAGACCAGAAGCUGUAGGCU